UGAGCUGAGUAGUGGCUGAACUUGUGUACGCGCGUCGUUUGGUGCUGGCUGUUUUUCUGACGGAUGUCGGGCUCUCGGCAGGUGAUCCCGGACGCCGAUAUGACGCUUGAAGUGUUUGCCCGGGUGCCCCCGUGCUGCCUCGCCUUGGCGUCGGAGUGUCAGGAACCAUUCAGCUAUAGAAUUCGACUGCACCAGUAGUACGGAGCAUCCAGUCAUCAACGUCGACGUUGUGGGUGCCGAAAAAAGAGCCUGGGCCGCGGGGUUGGAUCAAGAUCACUGGCUGGGCUGCCAGUGUUGCGGUUGACGCAGUAUCUCCGCCUGUUGACAUGGUGGAACUUGCCAGGAUACGUCCGCUGCGGAGUUCCGUCUUGAGUAGUACCCAGUACCUCCACCAAAAUGCCACGGGAAACGUGCAAGGACCUGGGCAAACUGUCUACCAACCUGCGUCGAGCGAUGGCCAUACUCCUGCGGAAUGAGCCCUCCAAUGGCGACAACUCCAAGAACGCAUGCGUCGAAAGAGUGGUGAUGGAAACGUUUCAUGUCAAAAGACGUCUUGUCAAGUGGUUUUGGCUGUUCUGAGAAGUGGACACAUGGGCAGCGCUUGACAGUGGCGACAUUACGCUGAUAGUGUUCGUGCUUCUUGUGUGUGUGUUUGUGCGAUGAAGUUUUCACCACCUGGACGACUGCAUUCUAUGCUUCGUUCUUGCAUAACACCUUGUACAAUAAAGUUUCAUCC